GAAUGCUAAAUGCUGCAUUCUAAGGGGAUUAUCACCUCCCUUCCUCCUCUGCUCCAGCUGAGAAGAGAAUUUGGUUUUCCAGGGUUGGGAGGAGUAAUUCCUGAUUUUGCUGUAGCUGAUUCUUCUGGGAAUGAAUGACCUACUAGGGUAUGCCUACAUAGUUCAUGGCAGCGAGCCUCCCAGCCCAGAUGAACAGACUUGGUGAGAUGUGUGAAGACUCUUCUUCCCUUGAUACUAAGAUCCCGUCAGCUUCUGCACCCAAGAACUAACUUCAGGACCACAAUGGAGCUGAGCUGAUCCUGCCAACUUCCUCUACGUUUUCUGGGACCAUGAAAGAACUGGCAACCCUACCUUUUAAUACUGAUUUAUUUUUAGUUCAUUUAUGAAAACUAUUCAACAAAUCCCAAGAUCAGAGAGUAAUUUGUAAUAAUUUGUAAGCCACUGUUAAAAAGAAAUUAAAAUGAAUAGCGCUUCUUAACACUGACAGUUUUAAAUUGCUAUUGUUUGCAUCAGUUUAAUAUUUGAAUAUUAGCAUGGGAUCAUCAGAAUUAAAUAUGAAAAGACCUAUUGAGUCAUCUAGACCUUCCCCCUUUAAAAGAUAUAUACACCUGAGGAAAUUAAUGUAUUUUCUGUACAUUUAAAGACUUGAAAUUAUGACUAUAUAGUGAGGGUAUUUUUGUACUUUCUGUAUUUUCUGUUAAUUUGUCUUAUUUAGAUAAGUGCCAUUUAAAAUAUAUCUUGACAUGUAACUUUUUUGUGAUUUAGUUCACAUAGUAAUGUAAGAUUGUUUGUUUGUAUUUCUACUCACUUUUUUUCUGAAGUAAAUUUUCAUUUUGUUAAAUAUAAGCCUGUGUAUUAAGUUGUGUAUUGCACAAAUACGUUUAGGACCCAAUCCAAUUCCUGUUGAAGUAAUGAGAAUCUUUCCUUUGGCUUCAAUAGAAGUUGGAUCAGACUCUUAAGCCAGAGCUGUCUAUAGCCAGCUUUUGCACUGUAUUAGUCUGUUGUAUUGAGAAUGAUCUGCUACAUCAAUAAAGCCCUGGCUUCUUUGUACAAUGAAAGUCUAUGGAGAGAAGGGGUUACCAUGAAAUAUUGUUUAAUCAUAUUAAUCAUUUAAUCAUCAUAAACAAGAUGAAUUAUUUUUUCAUCAAAAUUUUUGUUACUUAACAGAUAUAUAAAUAACUGGAUUCUGUUUUGUUUUUGAGCUUGUUUGGCCUGCUUGUGAGACUAAAUAGAGGAAGCUGGGAUGAGAGCAAUAGACAUUUUUCUGGAUUCAAGAUUUUCCCUAGUUAAUAUGCACGCUGUAGAAGGUUAAUUCAAGAGUCUGAUUUUUUUUUUAUAUGUAAGGUAGCAUAUCUCAGAUUUAAUACUUUUGUACUAUUGUCUAAUUAUUUGUAGUUCUAAAGAAAACACUUAACUGCCAAGAAUUACAAAAACAUAAAAUAUUAAGCAUUACUUCAUGCAGAUAGCUUAUUACAUUGGUCCUCUGUCUGCACUGGCUGCCUGUUUGUUUCUAAGGGUGGUUUUAAAGGUAUUUUGUUUUUGACCUUUAAGUCCCUGAAUAGUUUGGGACUUGGCUGUGUGAGGGACCAUCUCUCUUUUUAGGUGUUACCACCACAGUUACCAUCAGGAGAGGUGCUUAAGCUACCAAGACCCUCAUUUAAAAGACUCUUAGUGAAUUUUCCAUGUUAGGUCAAGGGACUCUAUAACCAGCUUGCCAUCCUGAUCUGCCAGAGCCUAGUUUUGUUAGCAUUCAGAGCACACAAGUCUAUCUUACUCGCUGCCUUUUCCUGAGGUUAGUUGAGGAUUAUUGAGGGCUUAUAAUUUUUAUUGUAUUUUAUUUUAUUCUUUUUUUUUAGGUGAGUAUUAUUCUGUUUUGGGUUAUUUGGCUUCAACUGGUUAUAUUUUGUGACUUGUUUUUCUAUAUUUUAAAUAUUGUAAAAAACCCAUUUCUUUGAUAUCUGGGGUCUGUACACCUGGGCUUUUGGUUUGAAAAUGUGAUCCUGGAACAUCAGAUCUUAUAUUAAUUUAAAUAUGUCUCAGCAUAACCAGUAUGAAUAAAAGUUGGUGAGAGAUGAAUUAUGUACUUGCUGACAUUUCAGUUUGACUGGCAGAGGAGGAUAAAGUGUGUAAAUUGCAUAUUUCCGUGUUCACUUUUGAUUUUUUUAAGUUCUGUUUAGAACUUUACCUUUGUUUUUAAUAAUUAUUUGAUAAUUGCAGUUGAUAAUAUACCACAUUGCUUUCUAUCAUGUUUCUGUAAUUUGUGUUUUUUCCCCAAUAAAUGCCCCUGUACACACACACUAUUUUUUGUAGAUAAACUACAUUCUUCUUUUGUUUUUUUUAUUUUUCAAAUCUGCAGAUUGGAUUUAGUGUUGCAUUUAUAAUGUUGAGUGGACUUGUUCUCUGUCUGUUCUUGUAUCAGAGAACUUCAUAUUGAAUUUUUAGUGAUUUGUUUUACUGAACUUAUUGAAAAGAAGUUUGUGUAAUUUGCUAAAAAAGUUUGCAGAAUUAGACAGUUACAGUAUAAUGCACUUUUAUGCUUCUAAUCUUAAAAAUCAAAUGUAAAAAUAUCUUAACACUAGUUCUAGAAUGCAUAAGAGACAUUAACUGUUCCUCUAAUUACUUGUCUAUUUAUAGUUUACUAUCUUGUUAAAUAAUUUUCAUUUAGAUAAAUGAAAAAAGUUAGAAUUUUUAAAUAUCAGACUGUAUUUUCUUAUAAAAUUGCACUCUGUUGAGUUAAAAAUGUUUGAGAUGUAUUUGCAAGAAAAUUUAGUAUAUUUGUAUAUUUUUAUUUAAAUGUAAUUUUGAUCCUAAUUAUUUGAUUUGUAAUGUUUAAAUAUAUUUUUCUUUCUUAAUAACAACAGCCAGUGACUAUGAGAACAAUAUACAACAGUAUUGUGGUAGUGUUCACCUUGUACUAUGCACUUCCACAUGGCUAUGCGGACAAAAUUCCCUAUCUUGAAGAUUUCACACUAAGAAAGAAAAGCAACUUACAAAAGUAGGUGGAGAGUGAUAAAACAUGCAAUGAAAAAUAUAAACUUCUUUGAAUAUAAAUACACAUCAACAAUACCCAAUACCCUUCAGUCUAGACAGUGUCAAUUAGUGAACUUUGUGUAGGUGUCUUGGCAUGGGUCUUUAGGAGAGAUUUGAAGAAGUUGUAUCCGGUCAGGUCUGCCCUACAAUAUUUUGCUGGUAUAGCUGUCCUGUAAGGGAUGUGAUGAGAGGAGAUUUAGGUCAGACAUAGCUGUACUGGCAAAAGCUGCUAGUGAAGACAGUUAUACCUGCAAGACUGUGCUUUUGACAGCAUAGCUUGUUUCACUUGAGGGGACUGGAAUAAGCUGUGCUGGCAAAAGCUGCGUCUACACUAGAAGUGCUUUGCCAGAAUAGCAUUCCGAUAUACCCAUACUGGCAAAGCCCUUCCAGUUGAGACCUGGCUCCAGAUCAGUCCAGGAUGGGUGUUCCAUGCAUGAGGAUCCUGACAGCAGAAUUGGGUUAAUGCCUUUAAUCUUCUUGGGAGAUGCUGUAUGUUUCAUUAUAGAGCAAAUGUACUGUAGCUCCACCACAGUGUAAAGAAGCCUGCUGUUAACAGUGUGCGAGUCUCAAUGUAGAAAUCCUUUCAGGAGCUCUGAGUGUUUAAAACAGAAAAAACAGUUGUCUGCUUUGCUAUUGAGGAGUGCAGUCUUAAAGAAUUAAAAAAAAGUCUUCCAGGCAAUAUUAAGAGUAUAUCCUUCAUUUUAUAUGGAGCAUAUCCAAUUCCUACUAUCCAGGCCUAAAAUCUCAGCUGGCUGCUGUGGAAAUCUACACGGGAAAGAGAGAAGAAACCUCCCUGCCCAAGGUCAUGGAGUGACAGCAGAGCUGUUGCAGGAGGCCAUUCCAGCCUAAUUAAAGGAAUCACUGAUAUGGGUUUUGGCAGAGAGGAUGUAGUACUCAAGGCCCCAUGCAGUGCCUCUCCUUUCUAUCUCAAAAUGGCCCCAAGAGCUACCAUCGAGGGAGCCAUAAGAGGCCUGGAAUCCUUAAUGAAUGACACAUGCAUCCCCGGCACAGUGUCCCAAACCUGCCAAUCCUGUACAGCACAAACUAGGGGCUUGUCUACACUACAAAAUUAGGUCAAUUUAACUUAGGGCAACCUACAUUCACUGCAGUAAUUCAGUCGGCUGUUAGUGUCCACACUACCUUCCUGCUGGUGAAGUGUGUCCUUACCAGAAGUUUUUGCACCAACUGAAGGGCAUUUUGGAGCACUGACAGCCAUGUGGGGCUCACAUCUGGAGCCCACCAUCUGGCUGUGGUGACAGCCCCAUCCAUGAGUCCCCUGCAGCUCAAUUUCACAGCACAAACAACAGUGAAACUGUCAUUCUUGUCAAUUUUAUGCUACUAUUGUCUCUGUUCAGAGCUGCUGCACUCUGACCUCUUGGAGACAGCUGGGCUGGAGUAGGGAGCCUGGGCAGCAGCCAGACUGGGAGCCCUGAGCCAGGCACCCAGGAGGCAGCAGGGAGAAGGG